UAGGCCUAACACAUGCAAGUCGAACGAGGCAGCGGCCUUCGGGCCGUUGUCGAGUGGCGAACGGGUGAGUAACACGUGAGAAACCUGCCCCGGAGACCGGGACAACCAGGGGAAACUCUGGCUAAUACCGGAUGCCCUCGGAUGGUCGCAUGGCCGACCGAGGAAAUGCUCUGGUGCUCCGGGAGGGUCUCGCGGCCUAUCAGCUAGUUGGCGGGGUAACGGCCCACCAAGGCAUCGACGGGUAGCUGGUCUGAGAGGACGAUCAGCCACACUGGGACUGAGACACGGCCCAGACUCCUACGGGAGGCAGCAGUGGGGAAUAUUGCGCAAUGGGCGAAAGCCUGACGCAGCAACGCCGCGUGGGGGAUGAAGGCCUUCGGGUUGUAAACCCCUUUCAGCAGGGACGAAAAUGACGGUACCUGCAGAAGAAGCCCCGGCCAACUACGUGCCAGCAGCCGCGGUAACACGUAGGGGGCAAGCGUUGUCCGGAUUUAUUGGGCGUAAAGAGCUCGUAGGCGGUUGCGUAAGUCGGAUGUGAAAACUCAGGGCUCAACCCGGAGACGCCAUUCGAUACUGCGCUGACUAGAGUCCGGUAGGGGA
rnacentral:rRNA from 1 species